rnacentral:rRNA from 1 species
UACGUAGGGACCGAGCGUUGUCCGGAAUCAUUGGGCGUAAAGAGCGUGUAGGCGGCUAUUUAAGUCCUGCGUGAAAUCCUGCGGCUCAACCGCAGACGGUCGUGGGAAACUGGAUGGCUAGAGUGCGGGAGAGGAGAGUGGAAUUCCCGGUGUAGCGGUGAAAUGCGCAGAUAUCGUUUGGAACGCCAAUGGUGAAAACAGGUUGCUGGGAGUGUGCUGACGCUGAGACACGAAAGCCAGGGGAGCAAACGGG